CGUAUAUAGUAAUAAAUUUGUGAGAAUGCAAAAAAGUUAUUAUACUGUCGAUAAGCAAAUCAGUUGUGUUGUGCCGCUAUGUUUCAAGAUAAGCAAAAUUAAUCGUAGAAAUAAAGAUUUGAUUCAAGAAACAUAUUCAUGUCAGUCGUCUUGGAACUCUAUAGUAGCCAAAAACUAUACGAGUUAAUUUGUGAUUAGGUCUAAUGAUCUUACAUAUAUUAUAAAGGGUUUAGUAAUCGUUAAAUUAUUUAAUAUCAAAAAUUUUCAAUCAUGUAAAGAUGUAAUAGUUGCAGAAAAAUACUUUUGGCCACCUAUAUUGUAAUAAUAUAUUUUAUUAACCAAAACAAAACAAAUUUAAAUCAUUCGAUCGAAUUGUUUUCGAAUUCCAGUUGCGAUUAUUUGCUACACAAGCAUAUUAAACGAAGGUGUUCGACCAAUUGUGUGAAGAUUGUGCUAAAUCAGUUUAAUAUUUUGCCACGCAUAUAUGUAUUUAUAUUAUACAGCAAUACCAGCAUGUACUCUUACUUAGAAUUAGUAAUUCAACAGUUGUGAUUUGUAUUUUACGUGUUAUUCAUUGUAGAUAGUCCAGUGAAUGUGACACAUGAAACAUUACACAUUUUCGUUUUCUUCUUUCUCUUCUUCUUUUUUUACUACUUUUCAAACAAUAAGCAUAAAGGGUAGAUAAAUAUAUCAAGACUGAUAAGAGAUAGGUAUAUAUGCACCUACUUUUUCUCAGAAUGCGUAAAUAUUUCACAUUAUAAUACUACGUGAGUAAUACAUUUGUGCAUUUGAAUGUUGUUGAUGGGCUUAUCGAAAACAACAAAUUAAGAGAAAAUAUAAAAACAACAUUCAGGCCCUUUGUUUCGCAUAGUAAAAAUAAGAGGACGAAAAACUAAAUAUUUAAUGGAACCAUCGAUUGCCAAAUCGUUGUUUUUAUUGAAAAGAAACCAAUCCGCGAUACAAUUUGUAUUAGUGUUAAUGGUGAAACGUGUGAUAAAAAAUUAACUCUGCAAGUGUUUAAUAUUUGUAAUCUUCAAAGAUAUUUUCAUACAGAAAAGAUACUGGUGCGAGUGAUAUGCAUGCAAAGAAUCAAUUAAAUGAGUUUGAAAUUAAUAGAUUCGUGAAAAAAAAAAAAUAAGAAAUAACCAAUUUUCACAAUAGUGAUCAGCAAAGUCGAGCACUAAGGCUUCUCGAAUAAGUACGAUAAAAGGCGAGUGAUAAUAUCUAACGAAUUUAGGAACAGGUCGAAAUGAAGGUAAACAAUAAUCGGAGGAUGUGCUGUAGUUGGAUCAACAACGUGGCUUGGAAACAACUCGCCGAUCAAGAAUGAAAAAGGUCUCGAAAUAACGUUGCGUGUGGACCUGUGUCGUAGAGAAUAUACUCGUACUGCAUAUAUCGUAAUACCUGCGAUGAAUGCACCUUGCCAGCUAAAAUGGGUCUGCUAUCGACAAAAAUUGGCCUCUUUCCUUCAGAAGAUAGAAAGAAAUCACCAUUGUUUCUCAAACGUAUGGUGCCCUGACGUCUGGAUACUUUCCAGGCUGGACCUUCUAAGGUUAAAUCAACAUCAACGCUGUGAUCCUUUGUUGAACGACCCACAGUGAUCUUCAAAAAUUAAAAUACUGUUCUUACAUGUUUAAAAAAAUGUGUGUGCAAUAAAAAACCAAUGAUUUGAAAACCAA